GAUGGGCCCGCGGCCUAUUAGCUAGUUGGUGAGGUAACGGCCCACCAAGGCUAUGAUGGGUAGCUGGUCUGAGAGGACGGACAGCCACACUGGGACUGAGACACGGCCCAGACUCCUACGGGAGGCAGCAGUGAGGAAUUUUCCGCAAUGGGCGAAAGCCUGACGCAGCGACGCCGCGUGGGGGAAGAAGGCCUUCGGGUUGUAAACCUCUUUCAGGAGGGACGAAGCUACUCGGGUGAAUAGCCCAGAGGGUGACGGUACCUCCAGAAGAAGCCCCGGCUAACUACGUGCCAGCAGCCGCGGUAAUACGUAGGGGGCAAGCGUUGUCCGGAUUUAUUGGGCGUAAAGAGCGUGUAGGCGGCUUGGUAGGUCCGCUGUGAAAACUCGAGGCUCAACCUCGAGAUGUCGGCGGAAACCACUUGGCUAGAGUCCGGAAGAGGAGAGUGGAAUUCCCGGUGUAGCGGUGAAAUGCGCAGAUAUCGGGAAGAACACCUAUGGCGAAGGCAGCUCUCUGGGACGGUACUGACGCUGAGACGCGA
rnacentral:rRNA from 1 species